rnacentral:rRNA from 1 species
GACGAACGCUGGCGGCGUGCUUAACACAUGCAAGUCGAACGCUGAAGCUUGGAGCUUGCUCUGGGUGGAUGAGUGGCGAACGGGUGAGUAACACGUGAGUAACCUGCCCCUGACUCUGGGAUAAGCGCUGGAAACGGCGUCUAAUACUGGAUACGACCCAUAGAGGCAUCUCUUGUGGGUGGAAAGAUGUUUCGGUUGGGGAUGGACUCGCGGCCUAUCAGCUUGUUGGUGAGGUAAUGGCUCACCAAGGCGACGACGGGUAGCCGGCCUGAGAGGGUGACCGGCCACACUGGGACUGAGACACGGCCCAGACUCCUACGGGAGGCAGCAGUGGGGAAUAUUGCACAAUGGGCGCAAGCCUGAUGCAGCAACGCCGCGUGAGGGAUGACGGCCUUCGGGUUGUAAACCUCUUUUAGUAGGGAAGAAGCGUAAGUGACGGUACCUGCAGAAAAAGCACCGGCUAACUACGUGCCAGCAGCCGCGGUAAUACGUAGGGUGCAAGCGUUGUCCGGAAUUAUUGGGCGUAAAGAGCCCGUAGGCGGCUUGUCGCGUCUGCUGUGAAAUCCCGGGGCUCAACUCCGGGCCUGCAGUGGGUACGGGCAGGCUAGAGUGCGGUAGGGGAGAUUGGAAUUCCUGGUGUAGCGGUGGAAUGCGCAGAUAUCAGGAGGAACACCGAUGGCGAAGGCAGAUCUCUGGGCCGCUACUGACGCUGAGGAGCGAAAGCAUGGGGAGCGAACAGGAUUAGAUACCCUGGUAGUCCAUGCCGUAAACGUUGGGAACUAGAUGUAGGGCCUGUUCCACGGGUUCUGUGUCGUAGCUAACGCAUUAAGUUCCCCGCCUGGGGAGUACGGCCGCAAGGCUAAAACUCAAAGGAAUUGACGGGGGCCCGCACAAGCGGCGGAGCAUGCGGAUUAAUUCGAUGCAACGCGAAGAACCUUACCAAGGCUUGACAUAUUCGAGAACGCCCCAGAGAUGGGGAACUCUUUGGACACUCGUUUACAGGUGGUGCAUGGUUGUCGUCAGCUCGUGUCGUGAGAUGUUCGGUUAAGUCCGGCAACGAGCGCAACCCUCGUCCUAUGUUGCCAGCGGUUCGGCCGGGAACUCAUGGGAUACUGCCGUGGUCAACACGGAGGAAGGUGGGGAUGACGUCAAAUCAUCAUGCCCCUUAUGUCUUGGGCUUCACGCAUGCUACAAUGGCCGGUACAAUGGGUUGCGAUACCGUGAGGUGGAGCGAAUCCCAAAAAGCCGGUCUCAGUUCGGAUUGGGGUCUGCAACUCGACCCCAUGAAGUCGGAGUCGCUAGUAAUCGCAGAUCAGCAACGCUGCGGUGAAUACGUUCCCGGGCCUUGUACACACCGCC